AUUGAACGCUGGCGGCAGGCCUAACACAUGCAAGUCGAGCGGAGCGGCGGACGGGUGAGUAAUGCCUAGGAAUCUGCCUGGUAGUGGGGGAUGACGUCCGGAACCGGGCGCUAAUACCGCAUCCUAUCAGAUGAGCCUAGGGCGGAUUAGCUAGUUGGUGGGGUAAAGGCCUACAAAGGCGACGAUCCGUAACUGGUCUGAGAGGAUGAUCAGUCACACUGUAACUGAGACACGGUCCAGACUCCUACGUGAGGCAGCAGUGGGGAAUAUUGCACAAUGGGCGCAAGCCUGAUGCAGCCAUGCUGCGUGUAUGAAGAAGGCCUUCGGGUUGUAAAGCACUUUCAGCGGGGAGGCGUUACCCGCAGAAGAAGCACCGGCUAACUCCGUGCCAGCAGCCGCGGUAAUUC
rnacentral:rRNA from 1 species